UUAAGCGACUAAGCGUACACGGUGGAUGCCCUGGCAGUCAGAGGCGAUGAAGGACGUGCUAAUCUGCGAAAAGCGUCGGUAAGGUGAUAUGAACCGUUACAGCCGGCGAUGUCCGAAUGGGGAAACCCAGUGUGAUUCGUCACACUAUCGUUAACUGAAUACAUAGGUUAACGAGGCGAACCGGGGGAACUGAAACAUCUAAGUACCCCGAGGAAGAAAUCAACGAGAUUCCCCCAGUAGCGGCGAGCGAACGGGGAGCAGCCCAGAGUCUGAAUCAGCUUGUGUGUUAGUGGAAACGGUCUGGAAAGUCCGACGGUACAGGGUGAUAGUCCGUACACCAAAAUGCACAGGCUGUGAACUCGAAGAGUAGGGCGGGACACGUGGUAUCCUGUCUGAAUAUGGGGGGACCAUCCUCCAAGGCUAAAUACUCCUGACUGACCGAUAGUGAACCAGUACCGUGAGGGAAAGGCGAAAAGAACCCCGGCGAGGGAGUGAAAAAGAACCUGAACCGUGUACGUACAAGCAGUGGGAGCACCUUCGGGUGUGACUGCGUACCUUUUGUAUAAUGGGUCAGCGACUUAUAUUCUGUAGCAAGGUUAACCGUAUAGGGGAGCCGCAGGGAAACCGAGUCUUAACUGGGCGUUAAGUUGCAGGGUAUAGACCCGAAACCCGGUGAUCUAGCCAUGGGCAGGUUGAAGGUUGGGUAACACUAACUGGAGGACCGAACCGACUAAUGUUGAAAAAUUAGCGGAUGACUUGUGGCUGGGGGUGAAAGGCCAAUCAAACCGGGAGAUAGCUGGUUCUCCCCGAAAGCUAUUUAGGUAGCGCCUCGUGAAUUCAUCUUCGGGGGUAGAGCACUGUUUCGGCUAGGGGGUCAUCCCGACUUACCAACCCGAUGCAAACUACGAAUACCGAAGAAUGUUAUCACGGGAGACACACGGCGGGUGCUAACGUCCGUCGUGAAGAGGGAAACAACCCAGACCGCCAGCUAAGGUCCCAAAGUCAUGGUUAAGUGGGAAACGAUGUGGGAAGGCACAGACAGCCAGGAUGUUGGCUUAGAAGCAGCCAUCAUUUAAAGAAAGCGUAAUAGCUCACUGGUCGAGUCGGCCUGCGCGGAAGAUGUAACGGGGCUAAACCAUGCACCGAAGCUGCGGCAGCGACACUAUGUGUUGUUGGGUAGGGGAGCGUUCUGUAAGCCUGCGAAGGUGUGCUGUGAGGCAUGCUGGAGGUAUCAGAAGUGCGAAUGCUGACAUAAGUAACGAUAAAGCGGGUGAAAAGCCCGCUCGCCGGAAGACCAAGGGUUCCUGUCCAACGUUAAUCGGGGCAGGGUGAGUCGACCCCUAAGGCGAGGCCGAAAGGGCGUAGUCGAUGGGAAACAGGUUAAUAUUCCUGUACUUGGUGUUACUGCGAAGGGGGGACGGAGAAGGCUAUGUUAGCCGGGCGACGGUUGUCCCGGUUUAAGCAUGUAGGCUGAUUGUCCAGGCAAAUCCGGAUAAUCAAGGCUGAGGUGUGAUGACGAGGCACUACGGUGCUGAAGUAACAAAUGCCCUGCUUCCAGGAAAAGCCUCUAAGCAUCAGGUAACAUUAAAUCGUACCCCAAACCGACACAGGUGGUCAGGUAGAGAAUACCAAGGCGCUUGAGAGAACUCGGGUGAAGGAACUAGGCAAAAUGGUGCCGUAACUUCGGGAGAAGGCACGCUGGUGUGUAGGUGAAGCCCCUGCGGGUGGAGCUGAGACCAGUCGAAGAUACCAGCUGGCUGCAACUGUUUAUUAAAAACACAGCACUGUGCAAACACGAAAGUGGACGUAUACGGUGUGACGCCUGCCCGGUGCCGGAAGGUUAAUUGAUGGGGUUAUCCGUAAGGAGAAGCUCUUGAUCGAAGCCCCGGUAAACGGCGGCCGUAACUAUAACGGUCCUAAGGUAGCGAAAUUCCUUGUCGGGUAAGUUCCGACCUGCACGAAUGGCGUAAUGAUGGCCAGGCUGUCUCCACCCGAGACUCAGUGAAAUUGAACUCGCUGUGAAGAUGCAGUGUACCCGCGGCAAGACGGAAAGACCCCGUGAACCUUUACUAUAGCUUGACACUGAACAUUGAGCCUUGAUGUGUAGGAUAGGUGGGAGGCUUUGAAGCGUGGACGCCAGUCUGCGUGGAGCCAACCUUGAAAUACCACCCUUUAAUGUUUGAUGUUCUAACGUUGGCCCCUUACCGGGGUUGCGGACAGUGUCUGGUGGGUAGUUUGACUGGGGCGGUCUCCUCCCAAAGCGUAACGGAGGAGCACGAAGGUUAGCUAAUCCUGGUCGGACAUCAGGAGGUUAGUGCAAUGGCAUAAGCUAGCUUGACUGCGAGCGUGACGGCGCGAGCAGGUGCGAAAGCAGGUCAUAGUGAUCCGGUGGUUCUGAAUGGAAGGGCCAUCGCUCAACGGAUAAAAGGUACUCCGGGGAUAACAGGCUGAUACCGCCCAAGAGUUCAUAUCGACGGCGGUGUUUGGCACCUCGAUGUCGGCUCAUCACAUCCUGGGGCUGAAGUAGGUCCCAAGGGUAUGGCUGUUCGCCAUUUAAAGUGGUACGCGAGCUGGGUUUAGAACGUCGUGAGACAGUUCGGUCCCUAUCUGCCGUGGGCGCUGGAGAAUUGAGGGGGGCUGCUCCUAGUACGAGAGGACCGGAGUGGACGCAUCACUGGUGUUCGGGUUGUCAUGCCAAUGGCACUGCCCGGUAGCUAAAUGCGGAAGAGAUAAGUGCUGAAAGCAUCUAAGCACGAAACUUGCCCCGAGAUGAGUUCUCCCUGAGACUUUAAGUCUCCUGAAGGAACGUUGAAGACGACGACGUUGAUAGGCCGGGUGUGUAAGCGCAGCGAUGCGUUGAGCUAACCGGUACUAAUGAACCGUGAGGCUUAACCUU
rnacentral:rRNA from 1 species